rnacentral:rRNA from 1 species
CGGACCUCAGAUCAGACAAGACUACCCGCUGAGUUUAAGCAUAUCACUAAGCGGAGGAAAAGAAACUAACAAGGAUUUCCUUAGUAACGGCGAGCGAACCGGA